rnacentral:rRNA from 1 species
GACGAACGCUGGCGGCGUGCUUAACACAUGCAAGUCGAACGAUGAAGCCGGAGCUUGCUCUGGUGAAUUAGUGGCGAACGGGUGAGUAACACGUGAGUAACCUGCCCUUGACUCUGGGAUAACUGCGGGAAACUGUAGCUAAUACCGGAUACGACCCUCGGCGGCAUCGCCAGGGGGUGGAAAGAAUUUCGGUCAAGGAUGGAAUCGCGGCCUAUCAGCUAGUUGGUGAGGUAACGGCUCACCAAGGCGACGACGGGUAGCCGGCCUGAGAGGGUGACCGGCCACACUGGGACUGGGACACAGCCCAGACUCCUACGGGAGGCAGCAGUGGGGAAUAUUGCACAAUGGGCGCAAGCCUGAUGCAGCAACGCCGCGUGAGGGAUGACGGCCUUCGGGUUGUAAACCUCUUUUAGUAGGGAAGAAGCGAAAGUGACGGUACCUGCAGAAAAAGCACCGGCUAACUACGUGCCAGCCGCCGCAGUAA